GCUCUAUUUUAUUGUUUGAGUGAAAGUCUACCCAAUAUUCAUCAUUUAAGCUGGCUCACACAUGCACAGCCCUGUCUUUGGUGGGAGUUCAAUAGCUUCAGCAGCACAAGACUCAGCUAAGCCACUCUGGCCCAGCCUCACAAAUCCUGCAGAGGAAGACAAGCAGGACUCCAGUCUAAGCUGUAUCUAAACAACAGAAUGGAGCGCAGGUGCAACACCUGGCAGCAUAGUUUGUCAUCUGAGUCGUUUUCCUCUCAGCAGCUACAGUACACACGCAUUUCCAGUUCCUGCCUCGCAGCACAGUUCCAAUACCCUGGUUCCCAAAGUUCCCUGAUUGUACAGAACGUAAAGACUCGAAUAUUACACCACAAACGGCUGAUGAGGAUACAAGGAAUCUUUGUAAUGUAUUCAGAGAUGGUUUGAUGUGCCACCUGCAACCCUCUCAAGGUUUGUUAGCUGACUACUUCAUAGACUGUGGGUGUAAUUAUACAUAAACACGCCGGGGGAAAAAAACCUCCUCAUCAGAAUCACAAGAGUCUGUUGAAAACAA